rnacentral:rRNA from 1 species
CGAAAGCCUGACGGAGCAAUACCGCGUGAGGGAGGAAGGCUCUUGGGUCGUAAACCUCUUUUCUCAGGGAAGAACACAAUGACGGUACCUGAGGAAUAAGCAUCGGCUAACUCCGUGCCAGCAGCCGCGGUAAUACGGAGGAUGCAAGCGUUAUCCGGAAUGAUUGGGCGUAAAGCGUCCGCAGGUGGCUAUGUAAGUCUGCUGUUAAAGCGUCUAGCUCAACUAGAUAAAAGCAGUGGAAACUACAAGGCUAGAGUGCGUUCGGGGCAGAGGGAAUUCCUGGUGUAGCGGUGAAAUGCGUAGAGAUCAGGAAGAACACCAGUGGCGAAGGCGCUCUGCUAGGCCGUAACUGACACUGAGGGACGAAAGC